rnacentral:rRNA from 1 species
GGGGCACGGGGGGCCUACGGGAGGCAGCAGUGGGGAAUAUUGCACAAUGGGCGAAAGCCUGAUGCAGCCAUGCCGCGUGUAUGAAGAAGGCCUUCGGGUUGUAAAGUACUUUCAGUUGUGAGGAAGGGGGUAGGGUUAAUAGCGCUAUGUCUUGACGUUAGCAACAGAAGAAGCACCGGCUAACUCCGUGCCAGCAGCCGCGGUAAUACGGAGGGUGCGAGCGUUAAUCGGAAUUACUGGGCGUAAAGCGCAUGCAGGUGGUUCAUUAAGUCAGAUGUGAAAGCCCGGGGCUCAACCUCGGAACUGCAUUUGAAACUGGUGAACUAGAGUACUGUAGAGGGGGGUAGAAUUUCAGGUGUAGCGGUGAAAUGCGUAGAGAUCUGAAGGAAUACCAGUGGCGAAGGCGGCCCCCUGGACAGAUACUGACACUCAGAUGCGAAAGCGUGGGGAGCAAACAGGAUUAGAUACCCUGGUAGUCCACGCCGUAAACGAUGUCAUACUUGGAGGUUGUGGCCUUGAGCCGUGGCUGUCGGAGCUAACGCGUUAAGUAGACCCGCCUUGGGAUGACC